UUUUUAUUAAUUGAAAUGAAUUCAAAGACAACCUCUUUUGAAGAUAUAAAACUAAAGGAUCAAAAAAUAGAUAAAAUAGCUUUUAUUCUUUCUCUUAAAGAGUACGAAUGUUUAUAUAAUAAGCAUAAUCAUUUGUAUAAAAGUAUUAUAUACAAGAAUAAAAUCUGGGAAUUAUUAGCCAAGCAGUAUAAUAUGCCUGGUUCAUCUCUCUGGAAAAAUCUGAGAGAUUGUUUUAUAAAAGAGAAGCAAAAGCUAAAAAGUGGGUCAGCAUGGCCAUUCUAUCAGGAUAUGCUAUUCCUGGUAGAAACCUUAACACCUAGAUCACAGAAAUCCUCUUUAGAUAUAGAGGAAUGUACUACUAAAGAUGCAAAUGAUAUAUUUAAUGAAAUAACAGGGGGUGAUCUCAUUGAUAGUGAGAAUAUAUCAGAUGAUAUAUUUAUUCCCAAAGAUUCUGCAGCAUUAAAUCUUAGUAAUGAUUCUGGUAAUUAAUAAUAUCUAAAAAUUUAUAUUAUCUUUUAUAUCUAUGUCCUGUGUUGGGUCACCUAAUUUUUAUUAUAAAUGUCCUAAGAGAAAGAACAAUGAUAUGGAAGCAGAUAAAGCAUUAAUAACCUUGGAAAUGUUUAAAAAUAAAUCAACAGAACAUGAAAUAUGAUUAAUGUUAUAAGAAAAAU